AGAGUUUGAUCCUGGCUCAGAAUCAACGCUGGCGGCGCGCUUAACACAUGCAAGUCGCACGAGAAAGGGAGCAAUCCUGAGUAAAGUGGCGCACGGGUGAGUAACAUGUGGGUAUCUACCUUUUUGUGGGGAAUAACUUGGGGAAACCCGAGCUAAUACCGCAUAAGCUCGAGAGAGGAAAGCCGAAAGGCGCAGCAAGAGGAGCCCGCGGCUGAUUAGCUAGUUGGUGAGGUAAUGGCUCACCAAGGCUUAGAUCGGUAGCCGGCCUGAGAGGGCACACGGCCACACUGGCACUGAAACACGGGCCAGACUCCUACGGGAGGCAGCAGUGGGGAAUCUUGCACAAUGGAGGAAACUCUGAUGCAGCGACGCCGCGUGAACGAUGAAGCCCUUCGGGGUGUAAAGUUCUUUCGCCAGGAACGAUAAUGACGGUACCUGGAGAAGAAGCUGCGGCUAACUACGUGCCAGCAGCCGCGGUAAUACGUAGGCAGCAAGCGUUGUUCGGAAUUAUUGGGCGUAAAGAGUAUGUAGGUGGUGUCGUAAGUUUGGUGUGAAAUCUCCCGGCUUAACUGGGAGGGUGCGCCGAAGACUGCGAUGCUUGAGUAUGGGAGAGGGAAUCGGAAUUCCUGGUGUAGCGGUGAAAUGCGUAGAUAUCAGGAGGAACACCUGUGGUGUAGACGGGUUCCUGGACCAUUACUGACACUGAGAUACGAAAGCGUGGGUAGCAAACAGGAUUAGAUACCCUGGUAGUCCACGCCCUAAAACGAUGCACCACUUGGUGUGAGCCAUUCAGUUGGUUUGUGCCGGAGCUAACGCGUUAAGUUGCCGCCUGGAG
rnacentral:rRNA from 1 species